CAAAUAUAAAUAUUUGUAGUUCUUAUCCCUCCUGCGAGUAAUAAAAAAAAAUAAAUAGAAUUCGACUAUCAUUAUUUUCUCUUCGAAGAUAUUACAAUGAAUACAUCUUCGUGGGACACUCUGUAUAAUAAGAAUACCGAUGAUAACAAGUGACUAUACAUGCUUACUAUGCUUACUAUUGUUUAUUAUACCCUUUUAUAUUUUAUUAUGUGCUAAAUGUAAAUCUAAAUAAUUGUUGUUUUUUCUUUUCUGUAUAUACAUAAUUAUAUCCAUGUUAUAGUUUUCAUUAUUCAUUCUUUAAUUUUAAUUUUAUGUUUUAUGUUAUACAAGAUAUGUAGUACUUUUUAUACGCCAUACGAUAAAUAAAUAAUACCACACAUUCGAAUUUAGGCGCCUUUGAUUUUCCAUCAAGCUAUAUUUAAUGAUAACCAUUAACAAGGCGCAAGGCCAAACGUUGAAAAUUAGAAGCAUCGAUAACACAGACCUAUACUAUGACACCUAUUACUAAUUUUAUGUUAUACGCUCCCGAAUUACCUUGGUAAAUAAUUCAUAGUACUUUAAAAUCAUUGAAUGAAUAACAUAGUCUACCAAAAAGGC